rnacentral:rRNA from 1 species
GUGGGGAAUCUUGCGCAAUGGGCGAAAGCCUGACGCAGCCAUGCCGCGUGAAUGAUGAAGGUCUUAGGAUUGUAAAAUUCUUUCACCGGGGACGAUAAUGACGGUACCCGGAGAAGAAGCCCCGGCUAACUUCGUGCCAGCAGCCGCGGUAAUACGAAGGGGGCUAGCGUUGCUCGGAAUUACUGGGCGUAAAGGGAGCGUAGGCGGACAGUUUAGUCAGAGGUGAAAGCCCAGGGCUCAACCUUGGAAUUGCAUGUGAUACUGGCUGUCUUGAGUUUGGGAGAGGUGUGUGGAACUCCGAGUGUAGAGGUGAAAUUCGUAGAUAUUCGGAAGAACACCAGUGGCGAAGGCGACACACUGGCCCAAUACUGACGCUGAGGCUCGAAAGCGUGGGGAGCAAACAGGAUUAGAAACCCGAGUAGUCC